GGCUCUGUAGCGCAAUGGAUAACGCGUUGGACUUCUAAUUCAAAGGUUGUGGGUUCGAGUCCCACCAGAGUUG
rnacentral:tRNA from 1 species